rnacentral:tRNA from 1 species
GUCCUCGUAGCUCAAUUGGAUAGAGCAAGAGUUUCCGAAGCUCUAGGUAGUAGGUUCAAAUCCUAUCGAGGACACCA